rnacentral:rRNA from 1 species
GACGAACGCUGGCGGCGUGCUUAACACAUGCAAGUCGAGCGGUAAGGCCCUUUCGGGGGUACACGAGCGGCGAACGGGUGAGUAACACGUGGUGACCUGCCCUCAGCUCUGGGAUAAGCCUGGGAAACCGGGUCUAAUACCGGAUAUGACUCCAUGACGCAUGUUGUGGGGUGGAAAGCCUUGUGCGGCUGAGGAUGGGCCCGCGGCCUAUCAGCUUGUUGGUGGGGUGAU